rnacentral:rRNA from 1 species
AUGUGGGCCUCGCCGGGGAGGCUGCCGGCGAUGGAGGAGGAGGAGGAGUGCGAGGCGGGCGCGGGCCACCGGGCGCCGAUGGCGUCCUGCUGGGGCCGCUUCGGCCUGGCGGCGCUGUGGCACAGGCUCCGGCACCUUUUCCUGGCGCGGCGGAGGGCGCGGCACGGCCGCUCCAUCCUCGGCGCCGGCGGGCUCAACUACGACCCGCUGAGCUACGCGCAGAACUUCGACGACAGCAGCCUCGAGCUCCACGAGCCGGACUUCACGGCCAGGUUCGCGCCCGCCCGCAACGCCUGCUCGCCCAGGCGGGCAUGA